GGAAAAGUGUCCGAGUGGUCGAAGGAGCACGCCUGGAAAGUGUGUAUACGGCAACGUAUCAAGGGUUCGAAUCCCUUCUUUUCCGCCA
rnacentral:tRNA from 2 species